AUUGAACGCUGGCGGCAUGCCUUACACAUGCAAGUCGAACGGCGGCAUGAUCUAGCUUGCUAGAUUGAUGGCGAGUGGCGAACGGGUGAGUAAUACAUCGGAACGUGCCCUGUAGUGGGGGAUAACUAGUCGAAAGAUUAGCUAAUACCGCAUACGACCUGAGGGUGAAAGUGGGGGACCGCAGGGCCGCAUGCUAUAGGAGCGGCCGAUGUCUGAUUAGCUAGUUGGUGAGGUAAAGGCUCACCAAGGCGACGAUCAGUAGCUGGUCUGAGAGGACGAUCAGCCACACUGGGACUGAGACACGGCCCAGACUCCUACGGGAGGCAGCAGUGGGGAAUUUUGGACAAUGGGGGCAACCCUGAUCCAGCAAUGCCGCGUGUGUGAAGAAGGCCUUCGGGUUGUAAAGCACUUUUGUCCGGAAAGAAAUCGCACUUACUAAUAUUAGGUGUGGAUGACGGUACCGGAAGAAUAAGGACCGGCUAACUACGUGCCAGCCGCCGCCGUAAAAC
rnacentral:rRNA from 1 species